rnacentral:rRNA from 1 species
AACGAACGCUGGCGGCAUGCCUAACACAUGCAAGUCGAACGAGACCUUCGGGUCUAGUGUCGCACGGGUGCGUAACGCGUGGGAACCUGCCCUUAGGUUCGGAAUAACUCCCCGAAAGGGGUGCUAAUACCGGAUAAUGUCUUCGGACCAAAGAUUUAUCGCCUUUGGAUGGGCCCGCGUUGGAUUAGCUAGUUGGUAGGGUAAAAGCCUACCAAGGCGACGAUCCAUAGCUGGUCUGAGAGAAUGAUCAGCCACACUGGGACUGAGACACGGCCCAGACUCCUACGGGAGGCAGCAGUGGGGAAUAUUGGACCACGGGCGAAAGCCUGAUCCAGCAAUGCCGCGUGAGUGAUGAAGGCCUUAGGGUUGUAAAGCUCCUUUACCCGGGAUGAUAAUGACAGUACCGGGAGAAUAAGCUCCGGCUAACUCCGUG